rnacentral:rRNA from 1 species
UACACUCCUGCGGGAGGCAGCAGUGGGGAAUAUUGCACAAUGGGCGCAAGCCUGAUGCAGCCAUGCCGCGUGUAUGAAGAAGGCCUUCGGGUUGUAAAGUACUUUCAGCGGGGAGGAAGGCGAUAAGGUUAAUAACCUUGUUGAUUGACGUUACCCGCAGAAGAAGCACCGGCUAACUCCGUGCCAGCAGCCGCGGUAAUACGGAGGGUGCAAGCGUUAAUCGGAAUUACUGGGCGUAAAGCGCACGCAGGCGGUCUGUCAAGUCGGAUGUGAAAUCCCCGGGCUCAACCUGGGAACUGCAUUCGAAACUGGCAGGCUAGAGUCUUGUAGAGGGGGGUAGAAUUCCAGGUGUAGCGGUGAAAUGCGUAGAGAUCUGGAGGAAUACCGGUGGCGAAGGCGGCCCCCUGGACAAAGACUGACGCUCAGGUGCGAAAGCGUGGGGAGCAAACAGGAUUAGAUACCCGUGUAGUCCC